GUGCCAGCCGCCGCGGUAAUACGGAGGGUGCAAGCGUUGUCCGGAUUUAUUGGGUUUAAAGGGUGCGUAGGCGGGUCUUUAAGUCAGUGGUGAAAGCCUGCAGCUUAACUGUAGAACUGCCAUUGAUACUGGAGGCCUUGAGUAUACUAGAGGUAGGCGGAAUUUAUGGUGUAGCGGUGAAAUGCAUAGAUACCAUAAAGAACACCUAUAGCGUAGGCAGCUUACUGGAGUAUAACUGACGCUGAGGCACGAAAGCAUGGGUAGCGAACAGGAUUAGAUACCCUGUAGUCC
rnacentral:rRNA from 1 species